rnacentral:rRNA from 1 species
CCUUGACAUACUAAGAACUUUCCAGAGAUGGAUUGGUGCCUUCGGGAACUUAGAUACAGGUGCUGCAUGGCUGUCGUCAGCUCGUGUCGUGAGAUGUUGGGUUAAGUCCCGNAACGAGCGCAACCCUUUUCCUUAUUUGCCAGCGGGUAAUGCCGGGAACUUUAAGGAUACUGACAGUGACAAACUGGAGGAAGGCGGGGACGACGUCAAGUCAUCAUGGCCCUUACGGCCAGGGCUACACACGUGCUACAAUGGUCGGUACAAAGGGUUGCUACCUCGCGAGAGGAUGCUAAUCUCAAAAAGCCGAUCGUAGUCCGGAUCGCAGUCUGCAACUCGACUGCGUGAAGUCGGAAUCGCUAGUAAUCGCGGAUCAGAAUGCCGCGGUGAAUACGUUCCCGGGCCUUGUACACACCGCCCGUCACACCAUGGGAGUUUGUUGCACCAGAAGUAGGCAGUCUAACCGCAAGGAGGACGCUUACCACGGUGUGGCCGAUGACUGGGGUGAAGUCGUAACAAGGUAGGCGUAGAUGA